AAACUUUAUUACACAAAAGCUCUGAGCGAUCAAGCCUCGUCUCUGGCCCCGGAUUGAAUUCUUCUCCUCCGGGGCCAAGAAUCUCGGUGUAUUUGCAUGAUUCAACAACAAUCUUUCAACUAUCUACAUGUCUUUGGGCAGGUGACUUUUUUUCUCUGGAGAUAUAGUUUUUCAUUUGUAAAAUGGACAUAAUACCUAUCUUUAAGACCCCUGCAAGAAUUAUAAAUAAUGUUUAUUAAGUUGCUAACACUUUGCAAGCAUUUGACGAAAAAAAAAAGCUAGUAUUAUUUACCUUUCCUUUUUCUGCUGUGUCCCAAAAUAACCUCCAAUCUUGAUUAUUCAAACCUCUUAAAUAUCUCUUGAAUCCCCCCAGUUCUACUAUCCAUUCCCUGCUGUAUCUGCCAUCUGGAUUACUUGUCAGUUUUCUAGCAGUAGUCCCUGAAUCCAACUGAGAGUGUUAUUUUGUUUUGUUUUUUAAAAUUUUGAUCCAGUUACUCUCCAGUUUAAUAGUCAUGAAUAGUUUCCAUUGUCUUUAAGAUUAAUUGCUGAACUCCACUGUUUUGGGGAUUAAGCUUCCCAGUCUGGUUCUGUUCACCCUCCAAUGUUCUCUUUGCCACCAGACAACCUGAUAUUUUUUUUCAUUGUCUGCCUAGCACAUUGAGGAGACAGCAGCAAGGAAGACAGAAGAGAGUGAGUGCAUGGCAAGUAUGCUUGAGUGCUCAGUUGCUUCAACCAUGUCCGACUCUGCAACCCUAUGGACUGUAGCCCACCAGGCUCCUCUGUCCAUGGGAUUCUCCAGGCAAGAAUACUGAAGUGGGCUGCCGUGACUUCCUCCAGUGCCAUGAUUGCUUUAGCCAACAAUGAUCUCUUUGGAUGCUUACAUUUCAAAGAUAUGUGCAGGCCCAAAAUAUAGGAGGUCUGGACCUGGUGGGAUCUGCUAUAUAGAAUAAGGGACAUUAAAUCAAGUCUUCUUGUGCAUUUUCUGGAUCUUUGUAAAAUCUAUUCCUUGGCUAUCAACAUUUAGGGUGGCAUGGAAAGACAAGUGUCGAAACCGAGAUCUCAGGAGUUAUGUUCAGGAUUGCAGAGUCUAGCAGUGGCGUUUUCUUUCUUCAGCUUAUUUCAUCUCUUUUUCAUAUUAAGGAAAUAAUAGUUGAGUGGGAGUUUAUGCUACCAUUCUUUCAAACAAAUAAUGUUUUUACAGAAGCAGAAGCAUGCGGUCUUCCUUCUAAGAGGCUUAAUGUUUGCCUCAUGUGUUUAUUGUUUGAUAUUAGCCUAGAGUAUAUUUAAGUUUGUUAAUUGACUUAAGCUAGUGAAUAUUUGUCUAAAAUGUUGAUUAUCAAAUAUAUCUCCAGUACAUUCAUUUCUUAAUUAAAUAACCCAGACGUAAUCUUGAAUGAUGCAAGUACUCCUCAAUACUCAAUAUAAAUAUAACAAAAGAAUACCUUUUUGUUAUAUUAAACAAAUUGAUCUUAGGCAAAAAUCCCACCUGUGUAAGCCUGUGACACCUUCAUCUGUGGAGUUGUCUCUAAAAACAGUAAAAGAUAACUACUCUUGUUGGGCAAUAUAAAAUUUAAAAGGAAGCAGAAUGCCAAAUAGCUAAAAAUGAAAACAGCCUGCCCUAAGGAUUUUGUUUUCAUAAAGUGUGACCUUUGAAUUAGAUGUUUUCUUAGAAAUGCUGCAUUUACACAACUUUAGGAAUAAACUCAGAAUUUAUUUAUCAACGUAUUUUAAGCCUUUUAAAAAACUCAUUUAUGCACCUUGCUUAUCAUGAAAGAAUAUAAAGAAGGAUUAGAUAAAUUGUUGCUUUCUCUUAAUUUUAUUUGCUUAGAUUAAUGCCUUAUGACUGAAUUCAGAGGCAGAUAAUUUUGCAAAUAUUGAAAUCAUUGCUAAUUAAUCACAGGUAUGAAAUCAUGCAUGCUAAACAUUUUCAAUAAAUCUUUGCAAUUCA